ensembl:lncRNA
CCUUCUGGGUGAGGAGAGGACUCUAGAUAAUUGACUUUUAGUGCCUGAUAAGGCUUGUGACAAGGCUCGCGUUUGCUAACAUUUUGACCAAAUGGCAACCUCAGCCAUGGAGGACCCAGGGUAAGCGGAUGCUCAGCAUUACUCUGUGACAUCGGAGCCCCUUUUAGCGUAGCAGCAAAGUCAAUGAAUGUCGCUUGAGCACCCAUUGGUUGCCGAAAUAUGCUGGUCAAGCACCUCUCAUAGUUCUGUUAGGUAAGUUGAUCCAAAAGAGUUCCUACAAAUUUGCCUGCCAGGCUCUUCUGCCUCUGGGAUUUUAUAGGCAAGAACACUGGAGUUCCAUUUCUUCCUUCAGGGGAUCUUCCUGAUCCAGGGAUCCAACCCGUAUCUCCUGUGUCUCCUGCAUUAGCAGGUGGAUUCUCUGCAACUAGCACCAUCUUUCAUUAAGCUUAAAUGCCACUUGCCUUGAAGUCUUAAGAACCUUUGGACUUUGUGCGUGUGCCACCACCCGCUGCAUCCCAACCCUUCCAAAGUUCUCAGCACCACCUGGGAACUUAACUGUGUGGUUUGUUUUAAAUUCCUAAGAGAGAACCUGCUUGGUGUGGUGCAUCUUCUGGAGGCCUGGGACACAAAUCAAAGGUCAGGACAACCUCUGGAGAACCAUUCCUGGCUGGCUACUCAUUCCUCAUCAGGGCAGCUGGGGGCUGGUGGCAGAAGGGAAGGAUCUGUAGAAGUUAGUAGCUGGAAGGUGAAAGGGCUUCCUGGAUGGCUCAGCGGUACAGAAUCUGCCUACAAUGCAGGAGAUGUGGGAGAUGCAGGUUCAAUUCCUGGGUCUGGAAGAUCCCUUGGAGGAGGAAAUGGCAACCCACUCAAGUAUUCUUGCUGGCAAAAUCCCAUGGAUAGAAGAGACAACAUGCCAGCUGUCAGAUGGAGAAAAGCAGGAAACUUUGGCAUUGCUAUUCCUGCCACCUUUACCACGGAGUCCCUAUAAAUAGCACAAUAGGAU